UCGGACAUGGCGGACGGAACGCAGCCCUUCUGCCUUCGCAAUGUAAAUAGUGGAUGGAGGGCAGACCCGAGUUCGACUCUCGGUGUCCGAU